UGCAUAAUAAUAAGCGGAGGAAAAGAAACCAACAGGGAUUGCCCUAGUAACGGCGAGUGAAGCGGCAACAGCUCAAAUUUGAAAUCUGGCCCUCGGGUCCGAGUUGUAAUUUGUAGAGGAUGCUUUUGGUGCGGUACCUUCCGAGUUCCCUGGAACGGGACGCCAUAGAGGGUGAGAGCCCCGUCUGGUUGGAUACCAAUCCUCUGUAAAGCUCCUUCGACGAGUCGAGUAGUUUGGGAAUGCUGCUCUAAAUGGGAGGUAUAUGUCUUCUAAAGCUAAAUACCGGCCAGAGACCGAUAGCGCACAAGUAGAGUGAUCGAAAGAUGAAAAGCACUUUGAAAAGAGGGUUAAACAGUACGUGAAAUUGUUGAAAGGGAAGCGCUUGUGACCAGACUUGGGCACGGUUAAUCAUCCAGCGUUCUCGCUGGUGCACUUGGCCUGCCCAGGCCAGCAUCAGUUCGGUGCGGGGGAUAAAGGCUUCGGGAAUGUGGCUCCUCCGGGAGUGUUAUAGCCCGUUGCGCAAUACCCUGCGCUGGACUGAGGUUCGCGCUCUGCAGGAUGCGGCGUAAUUCCCCACGCAUCG
rnacentral:rRNA from 1 species